GCCCAACUGGCUCAGUGGGAAAAGCAUUGGACUUUUGAUCUCAAGGUUGUGAGUUCAAGCCUCAUGUUGGGUG